GAUGAACGCUGGCGGCGUGCCUAAUACAUGCAAGUCGAGCGAACAGACGAGGAGCUUGCUCCUCUGACGUUAGCGGCGGACGGGUGAUUAACACGUGGAUAACCUACCUAUAAGACUGGGAUAACUUCGGGAAACCGGAGCUAAUACCGGAUAAUAUAGUGAACCGCAUGGUUCAAUAGUGAAAGACGGUUUUGCUGUCACUUAUAGAUGGUUCCGCGCCGCAUUAGCUAGUUGGUAAGGUAACGGCUUACCAAGGCAACGAUGCGUAGCCGACCUGAGAGGGUGAUCGGCCACACUGGAACUGAGACACGGUCCAGACUCCUACGGGAGGCAGCAGUAGGGAAUCUUCCGCAAUGGGCGAAAGCCUGACGGAGCAACGCCGCGUGAGUGAUGAAGGUCUUCGGAUCGUAAAACUCUGUUAUUAGGGAAGAACAAAUGUGUAAGUAACUAUGCACGUCUUGACGGUACCUAAUCAGAAAGCCACGGCUAACUACGUG
rnacentral:rRNA from 1 species